ACAAAAUGGCCUUAGUCCAGGAACAAAACAUUACUUCACAUAGGAACACAAAUUUAUUCACAUAGGGGAACAAAUGUCGUUACACUUUCUGCUUUUGCCAGGAAAUAGAUGAACUACGAAGAAGCCUAUCUCUCUCACUUGAGUAAAUGGUUCGUACAAAAUGUUCUAGUGUGAUCUAUCUAAAUAACAACAGAAGGAACAAAUUUCACACUGCGCCCAUGUACACUUUUGAAGAUGAGUUGCACUAGCAUUAAUCAAGUUGGCCUGCUGAAAAUCAGACACAGUGGACUGCAACCAUCUUAAUUACUGCUGAAGAUUGUCAGCCAUACAAAUUACUACAGAAACUGGUUAAGAACAGUCGACCGUGUGCAGCCAUACUAAUUUAUCUUGUGGAAUAGACAUAGGCAGCUUAGAGGCAUACUUUUGUUCUUACUGAUGACCUACAGAGCAUGUAGGGAAAGAUAUAGGGGAAGGAUUAAUCAAUAUUGAGCUUGAGCGACCAUCUCAACAAUAAAUCCAAAAGUGGCAGCAGCAUAUAUCUCGCUACACUGCACCUCAAGGGAGAUCAAAUCCCCAUGUUGAAUAGCAUCCCAGCAACAGCAAGAUCACUCACCCAUUCAAAGACCGACUAUCUUUCCUCGUGAAUGGCGACAAGCACCAGGAUCAACACCUACAGGAAAGAGGUAGAUGUUCAUAGGCAUAACAACAAGUUCAGCUUCAUAGCUCAACCCAUGGACCGCUAUUUGAAAUCAAGACAAUUGUGUUUAUGGCUUCAAAGAUAUCUUCAAGCAAGACCAUUGAAAUGGAAGUGAACCAAGUAGUAGUAACGCUCCAACACCCCACCAACACCAAACAAUUCCUAACCUAUUUAGUACUGACCCAAAACCUAUUUUGUAUUUUUUUUCUAUUCAUUAUUUAUCAGUAAGAUGAAUUCUUACCAAAAUCCAAUGAUUGACCUCUCUGGACUAUAAUCUUUGAACUUCCACAUUACUUUAAAAAAUACAUGCUUCUUUAGGUCCAUGUAAACGGAGAAGUUCACAGUUACUGUUUGCUGGUAUUGCAUAAAAUUCUGUUUUUUAGAGUGCACACUUAUAAGACGUGGACCAUCAGACAAAAAAUGCCAAUGGUAGUGGCGGCUUGAAAUACAACAAGAAACAAACAGGGGGGAAUAUACAUGAGAUAUCUUUUUUAACAUGUUCAGUACAUGGAGAUCCUAGUGUACAUAAAUCAUUUUAGUCAGAUAGCAACUCGCGACAUGUGGCCACAUACAUAGGCUGAAUGCAUGCCACCUUGGUAGCCACAUACAUAGGCAAGUUGAAGCUGAAGUAGCUAACAAAUUUUUGAACAAAAAAAGUUAUAGAGGGGAUUGCUCUCACAAUAAGUCUCCCUUUACAGGAUUCAACAGAAGUUGAACUUGAUGGUGUGCAGCAGGAUCCGGGGUGUUGUGUUCACGAACGGUCGGCAUCUCCAUCGUUGCACAGCCCGGCACUGCAUACUGGAACGGACCAGGGCUGCUUUGGGAGGACUCGGGUGCUGCUGCAGAUCGGAUCAGGGUGAGGGUGCUCUCCACUGCCCUAAAGAAAAUGCUCUGUAGGAAAAAACACACACGCAAGAACCUUUGGAUAUAAGUGCGCGACGGAUUUAGGAGCUACAGGAUCAGUAGAAAUUGAACUGCGGAGUGCAUAGGAGUCGACCUUCACUCCAACGCUCAGGAGGUGUCGAGCGUGAAGGAGGUUGCCCGCGACGCGCGACCAUGGCGCGCAGCCAGCUGCAGGUUGUGGCCUCCUCCAUCUAAAGUUCGACGCCUCCUCGAUCUGCAGGAUAGCACCCCAUCCGCCCGCGUGCUAGUGGUCGCCGGAGAGUGGAGGGUGGUGAAGGAUCCUCGCCGGAUCGGGCGACCCCGAGGUGCUCCGGCAGGUGGUGUGGCGCGUCAUCGGCUGGGGUCGACGCUGUGGUGGCGUCACUGGUGGGGGUGGGGCUGUGGCGGCAACGCCGGCAGGGGCGUGGAUGCGGCUGCGUGGCGGUGGCGGCAACACCGGAUGGGGUCUGGGCGGCGGGAUGGGUGCUCCCACGGUGUCGACGGGGAGGAAGCAGGAGAUCGGUCAAAGGGAAGGGAGGGCAUGGAGGCGCCCGGCUUGCCGGCGGGGCGGGAGUGGGAGCGGGCGGGGCGGCGACGCCGGGUGGAGGCAGGGUCAGGGGAAGGUGGGCGUCGCUGGGACUGGGAAGAUCGGGAGGUUGGGGAUCGGGCGAGGUGAUGGACGAGGGUGCGUGGAGUGGGCUUUUUUUUCUUCGUGGGUUUCGGG
rnacentral:lncRNA from 1 species